rnacentral:rRNA from 1 species
UACAGAGGGGGCAAGCGUUGUUCGGAUUUACUGGGCGUAAAGCGCACGUAGGCGGACUAUUAAGUCAGGGGUGAAAGUCCCGGGGCUCAACCCCGGAACUGCCUUUGAUACUGGUAGUCUUGAGUUCGAGAGAGGUGAGUGGAAUUCCGAGUGUAGAGGUGAAAUUCGUAGAUAUUCGGAGGAACACCAGUGGCGAAGGCGGCUCACUGGCUCGAUACUGACGCUGAGGUGCGAAAGCGUGGGGAGCAAACAGG